rnacentral:lncRNA from 1 species
UUAAUAUUUACAAACUCAAGGCCUGCUCCUGCUCCCAUUGCCGUUGAAGAAAAAGGUUUUGCUGAGGGCUUCACCUUCGGAGCCCCACAGCAAAGGGUCGCGGAGCAGAGCAGCGCCGCCAGAAAUCCCGUAAGCAGAUUUCACACCCUGCCCUGCAAAUACAAUGUGAGUAUGGAAGAGAGGAUGGAUAUUGAUGCUUGUGCCCCAGACCAGCCUGCUCCUUGUGACAGACUGCAAUAAGCCAUCGCUGGACGAUGAUAGAAAGGUUCUUUGAAAAUCUCUCCAAGAUGCUUCCAAUAAAAGAAUUGUGCAACUAUUCCCA